rnacentral:rRNA from 1 species
GUGAGGAAUAUUGGUCAAUGGGCGGGAGCCUGAACCAGCCAAGUCGCGUGAAGGAUGAAGGUUUUAUGAAUUGUAAACUUCUUUUGCAGGGGAAUAAAGUACGGUACGUGUACCGUUUUGUAUGUACUCUGCGAAUAAGGAUCGGCUAACUCCGUGCCAGCAGCCGCGGUAAUACGGAGGAUCCAAGCGUUAUCCGGAUUUAUUGGGUUUAAAGGGUGCGCAGGCGGAGUGAUAAGUCAGCGGUGAAAGUUUGCAGCUUAACUGUAAAAUUGCCGUUGAAACUGUCGAUCUUGAGUGCAAAUGAGGUAAGCGGAAUGUGUUGUGUAGCGGUGAAAUGCUUAGAUAUAACACAGAACACCGAUUGCGAAGGCAGCUUACUGGGAUGCAACUGACGCUCAUGCACGAAAGCGUGGGGAUCAAACAGGAUUAGAAACCCUAGUAGUCC